AUUAUAUUUAUGCUUUGCUUGGAGUGAAGAAAAGUUUUGGGAACCAGACCCAAGAAUUUUAAAUUGCCUUAAAAAAACACAAGAAAUACAUCUUUCUCCUAACUUUCAGACCUGUGGUCCAGGAAUGAGGGAAUAGUUGCCAGGAUUAUUAAAGAAACUCUGUGUUAAACAGUGGAAAGAUGUCAGGUUGUGGGUUUCUCUGCCACGGGAGCUUUUAGAGACCAACGUUGUCUGGAUUUGAUGACAGCACGCAGUGGCUGCACUGGCACUAAGUGAGGGCACUAUAGGGACGUGCGGGGGUCCCAACUGGCUGAAGAUGAGCUUUGCCCAUGCUGUCAUCGGGAGCUCCAUCAAGUGUGGUUACUCCAGGGACGUACUGGAAAGCACAGAUGUGUUCUGGCCAGAGGACCACACCUGCGUGCAGGGGCACGGGCGUCCCUUUCUGUUCUUAAAGACAUCUGCCUUGGUCAUACCAGAAUUCAGGCUCAGAGUAGGAUUGAAUGGCUCCAACUACUUUGAAGUUCGGCAUGGUCCUACAGCUUUUUUGACCAAUAGAAUACAGAAGUGGUAGGUGUCACUUCUGGGCAGGAGCUUCAAGAGAAGGGCGAGCUUCACCACGUUCCCCUCCCCGUGCUGUGGGGAAUGUGGAAGAAGGUGCACAGGGGAGCCGCCACCGCCCUGAGUCCCUGCAUGUCUGCAACCGGCAGAUCCCUUCCCAUGCCCAACAGACAUUCAAUGGGAUCAAGAAGUAAACUCUUGUUGUUUU
rnacentral:lncRNA from 1 species